rnacentral:rRNA from 1 species
AGAAUCAACGCUGGCGGCGUGCCUCAGACAUGCAAGUCGAACGAUUAAACUUUCCUUCGGGAAAGAUAUAAAGUGGCGCACGGGUGAGUAACACGUAAGUAAUCUACCUUUGAGUGGGGAAUAACAGUCGGAAACGGCUGCUAAUACCGCAUAAUGCAGCGGCAUCGCAAGAUGACAGUUGUUAAAGGAGCAAUCCGCUUAAAGAGGAGCUUGCGGCAGAUUAGCUAGUUGGUAAGGUAAUGGCUUACCAAGGCUACGAUCUGUAACCGGUCUAAGAGGACGGUCGGUCACACUGACACUGAAUAACGGGUCAGACUCCUACGGGAGGCAGCAGUCGGGAAUUUUGGGCAAUGGGCGAAAGCCUGACCCAGCAACGCCGCGUGAAGGAUGAAGUAUUUCGGUAUGUAAACUUCGAAAGAAUGGGAAGAAUCAAUGAUGGUACCAUUUAUAAGGUCCGCUAACUACGUGCCAGCAGCCGC